AAACAGAAAGGGCCUUUCUAUAAGCCUGUGUAUCGAACCCAGAUAAAUACUGCAAACAGAAAGGGCCUUUAUAUAAGCCUGUGUAUCGAACCCAGAUAAAUACUGCAAACAGAAAGGGCCUUUAUAUAAGCCUGUGUAUCGAACCCAGAUAAAUACUGCAAACAGAAAGGGCCUUUAUAUAAGCCUGUGUAUCGAACCCAGAUAAAUACUGCAAACAGAAAGGGCCUUUCUAUAAGCCUGUGUAUCGAACCCAGAUAAAUACUGCAUAUUCAACGUUCACUCACAAAAACUCCUCAUUCUUUAUAUUUUACUCCAACCUGUUUGAGGGAUGUUUCGUUCCACCGUGGAACAUUUUAACACGCGUCGUGUGGUACAUCCAUAUUGAACAGAGAGACUGACGUGGACCUUCUUGGUCCAGUCACAGUGACACACACACACACACACCUGGGAGAUAUAUCAUGUCUGGGUCACGGUGUCGUGGCCGGGGGGUCAGAAGCUCAUACAUGAGCACUGAGAGGUGACCAUCGUUUCUGCUGUGUGUGUGUGUGUGUGUGUGUGUGUGUGUGUGUGUGUGUGUGUGUGUGUGUGUGUGUGUGUGUGUGUGUGUGUGUGUGUGUGUGUGUGUGUGUGUGACCCUGUCACCAUUACAGAGAAGCAUACCUAAACAGCGAGAAGUGACUGCUUUGGGGACCACCAUGUCACCUGUGUCGACUGGUCUGACAGCAGAGAGGCAUCACAGGGCUCUCUGUCCUCCCUGAGGCCCGUAUGUCUGCAACCUACAGGCUGGGGGCUGGGAGCUGGGGGCUGGGGCCAAAGACCAGGCAGAGACCCUAUCGUCCCUGAGGUUGCCUGCCUCUUGGCUGGGGGCUGACUGCUGGGGGGCUGGGACCACAGACCAGGCAGAGACAAGAGCAGAGACCCUGUCGUCCCUGAGGUCGCCUGCCUCUUGGCUGGGGGCUGAGAGCUGGGGGACUGGGGCCACAGACCAGGCAGAGACAAGAGCAGAGACCCUGUCGUCCCUGAGGUCACCUGCCUCCCGGCUGGGGCCUAGGAGACCAGAGGCUGUGACUUAAAUGACAAGGUGCUCCCUCUCUGGGACUUGAGGUCCACUGGCCCCUGGCUGGGGGCUGAGGGCUCAGUACCACAGACCAGGGACCCCUGUCGAUCCCCAGGAGCAUCGAGCUUAAGGCUGAGUGCUCAGGGCUGACACCGACACAGAAGGGGGCUGUGACAUAGGUCCCAAUAUGCUCCCUCUCAGGGGCUUGAUGGUCCUAGUCAAUAUCAAGGUUGCGAGGGUAAUGAUUAAGAGACCAGAUUGGGGGGUAUAGGGAACAAGAUGAGGGGCCAGAGAUGACGGGGUAAUAGUUAGAUUAUUAUUAUUUUUCAUUUUUUUUAACCUUUAUUUAACCAGGCAAGUCAGUUAAGAACAAAUUCUUAUUUUCAAUGACGGCCUAGGAACAGUGGGUUAACUGCCUGUUCAGGGGCAGAACGACAGAUUUGUACCUUGUCAGCUCGGGGGUUUGAACUUGCAACCUUCCGGUUACUAGUCCAAUGCUCUAACCACCAGGCUACCCCGUCAUCUAACCCUUAUCCUACAAUCUAACCCUUACAAUACAAUCUAACCCUUACCCUACAAUGGGGCCCAUUGUAGGGUAAGGGUUAGAUUGUAGGGUAAGGGUUAGAUUGUAGGGUUAGAUUGUAGGGUAAGGGUUAGAUUGUAGGAUAAGGGUUAGAUUGUAGGGUUAGAUUGUAGGGCAAGGGUUAGAUUGUAAGGUAAGGGUUAGAUUGUAGGGUUAGAUUGUAAGGUAAGGGUUAGAUUGUAGGAUAAGGGUUAGAUGACGGGGUAAAGGUUAGAUUGUAGGAUAAUGGUUAGAUUAUAGGGUAAGGGUUAGAUGAUGGGAUAAGGGUUAGAUUGUAGGGUAAGGGUUAGAUUGUAGGGUAAGGGCUAGAUUGUAGGGUAAGGGUUAGAUUAAGGGUUAGAUUGUAAGGUAAGGGUUAGAUUGUAGGGUAAGGGUUAGAUUGUAGGAUAAGGGUUAGAUUAAGGGUUAGAUUGUAGGGUAAGGGUUAGAUUGUGGGGUAAGGGUUAGAUUGUAGGGUAAGGGUUAGAUUGUAGGAUAAGGGUUAGAUUGUAGGAUAAGGGUUAGAUUAAGGGUUAGAUUGUAGGGUAAGGGUUAGAUUGUAGGUUAAGGGUUAGAUUGUAGGGUAAGGGUUAGAUUGUAAGGUAAGGGUUAGAUUGUAGGAUAAGGGUUAGAUUGUAAGGUAUGGGUUAGAUUGUAGGGUAAGGGUUAGAUUGUAGGGUAAGGGUUAAAUUGUAGGGUAAGAUUGUAGGGUACGGGUUAGAUUGUAGGAUAAGGGUUAGAUUAAGGGUUAGAUUGUAGGGUAAGGGUUAGAUUGUAGGGUAAGGGUUAGAUUGUAUGAUAAGGGUUAGAUUAAGG
ensembl:lncRNA